GAAAUGCGAUAAGUAAUGUGAAUUGCAGAAUUCAGUGAAUCAUCGAAUCUUUGAACGCACCUUGCGCUCCUUGGUAUUCCGAGGAGCAUGCCUGUUUGAGUGUCAGUAAAUUCUCAACCCCCUUCCAGCCUUUGUGGUUGGCUUCUGGGGGCUUGGAUGUGGAGGUUCUUGCAGGCCUUUUUUCUUGGUCGGCUCCUCUGAAAUGCAUUAGCGGAACGGUUUGCGAUCCAUCACAGGUGUGAUAGUUAUCUAUGCCAGUGGGUUGCUCUCUCUAUUGUUCAGCUUCCAACUGUCCCAUAAUUGUGGACAAACUUAUUACUGAAUAUUUGACCUCAAAUCAGGUAGGACUACCCGCUGAACUUAA
rnacentral:rRNA from 1 species